UCAUAUGUUAUUUACAUACAGUAUGCUGAUCAGGCAGUCCGACAUGCUGUAACUGUUGGGUAGAAAACUGCAUGAACACCACAUGGAAUAUGACCUCAGGUGUGGCUGAGCUGCACGACGACUCUGAGAGGGUACAAGAUGACAACUUUGGAAUUCUAUUGGAAAUAGUCGCUCAUAUUUGUCAAAGCUGAACCCAGGGCAAACUAGGCUAAAUUAGCAUUUUUAGCUAACAGCUACAAGUUACUAUCAUUUGUUCACAUGAUGCUUUUUCUUAUAAAUGUAAUACAUUUAUUACCAACCUGAGAUUUUAUCCGCCGGUCAUUUUACAUGAUGAAUGACUUCUGAAUACUUAAUCUGAGGCCCACUCCAGCUGAAGAUGCUGUAGGUCCACUCAGUAACACUGGGCCCACAGGUACAACGUAGCUCUAUUAAUCAGCACUCAUUACUGUGCGGCUUUCUCGAAGUACCCCAGUGUAUGACCCCAAAACUGGAUUUAAGAACUGAAAUUGAAUUGUAGAACUGAAACUGAAUGGUGAGAAGUGAAACUGAAAGUAUUCAAGAGCUAAAUUUAAAAAGAAAUAAAUAAAAAAAGAUGAUAUUCUUUUUAAUACAAUUUCAAAGCCCCAGACAAAGGAAGUGAAUAUAGUGUAUAGUGAAUUGUUCCUCUCAGUCAAGCCUUGUUCCUCCUCUCUUCUCUUCUGAUGGUCCGUGUGUCCUGUUGUCUUUAAAGUCACAUUGAUGCCUCUGUAAUCGACUUAGUGGAAUAAACAAGGAAAGAAGCAACCGCUAAACUCAAAGAAGUUGGAGGCCAGAAAACUAUCACACAGGAGUCCGGACAGAACGUCACUCUGAUAUGUCGAGUUACAACCAACAACAUCAUAGUUGUCAAAUGGAGCAGAGCUGACCUGGGAGAUGAAUAUGUUGUUUUGUACCGGGAUGGUCAGUUUGUUCCAGAUCACCAGCAUCCAUCUUUUAAGAACCGGCUGGACCUGCAGGACAGACAGAUGAAGGAUGGAGACGUGUCUUUGAUUCUAAACAAUGUGACCAUUAAUGACACUGGAACUUACGAGUGUCGUGUUGUCCAGCGAGUGAGAGGACCUAUGACUCUAAUCAACAGCACCAACCUGAGUGUUGUUGAUCCUCCAGGUCUGACAGGAGGCGUCUGUAGAGGUUGUCAUGGACUGUUCACGAGUUUCUCCGUUUUUGAUGUUUUUAUUGCUGUUGUUGGUGUCUUGGUGGUGUUGUGAUCUAGAAAA